UUUUUAAUUUUUUUUUUUAAUUUUUUUUUUUUAUUUGUAGUUUUUUAAGGAACCUCCAUACCGUUCUCCAUAGUGGCUGUAUCAAUUUACAUUCCCACCAACAGUGCAAGAGGGUUCCCUUUUCUCCACACCCUCCCCAGCAUUUAUUGUUUGUAGAUUUUUUGAUGAUGGCCAUUCUGACUGGUGUGAGGUGAUAUCUCAUUGUAGUUUUGUUUUGCAUUUCUCUAAUGAUUAAUGAUGUUGAGCAUUCUUUCAUGUGUUUGUUGGCAAUCUGUAUGUCUUCUCUGGAGAAAUGUCUAUUUAGGUCUUCUGCCCAUUUUUGGACUGGGUUGUUUGUUUUUUUGUUAUUGAGCUGCAUGAGCUGCUUGUAAAUUUUGGAGAUUAAUCCUUUGUCAGUUACUUCAUUUGCAAAUAUUUUCUCCCAUUCUGAGGGUUGUCUUUUGGUCUUGUUUAUGGUUUCCUUUGCAAGGAGAAUGUUGAAUCACUAUUGCUGGACAACUUCACCAAACAUUCUCGUUUAUAAAGAUGGGAGACUGGACGGGAAUGUGCAUUCGCAGACAUUUUUGUGAGAGGUGACAAAUGGGCGUAAAUCCUGUUCGGGAACAAUUCUUUAAGGGGUGUGCUUGCUCAGUUUCCUCAAUCUGGGCAGCACAGUAACAGCAGGUGCCAGUUGGGGUCACUUGGAUUUUGUACUGCCCUUUAACAAUACCUAAAGAAAGACAUCCUCUAAACAUUGGGCUUUAUAAAGAAGAAAGGAGGAUUAGAUGAGUGUGGCUGGACUCACAUGCUGGAGUGAGCUGUAUACAGUCACUAAAUAGAUGACACACAUAGAUAUAUGUAGCAAAUUACAAGUGUCACAAUGAGUAUGAUGAGUAAUAUGACUUGGAAGCCAACUACCAAAUCUUGUAGUUCAGGAUUCCAAGACUAAGGGCGGGAUUUCCCUGACUUUUUUUUUUUUUUUUUGCGGUACGCGUGCCUCUCACUUCUGUGGCCUCUCCCGUUGCGGAGCACAGGCUCCGGAAGCACAGGCUCAGCGGCCAUGGCUCACGGGCCUAGCUGCUUCGCGGCAUGUGGGAUCUUCUCGGACCGGGGCACAAACACGUCUCCCCUGCACUGGCAGGCGGACUCCCAACCACUGCGCCACCAGGGAAUUCCUCCCUUACUCUUUAAGGCUUCAUUUUUUUCCUUCGGGAUGUUUCUGCAGCGUCUUCACCUUGUCGUUUUCUACCUUCAGUACUGUCCAGAGACCAGAUGGUCAUGCAUCUCUCUGUGGGUCCUUAAAGGCAGGAACCAUGCCCCCCUUCCUAGCAGCACCUUGCAGAGGUGGCCACAUUCUGGAGAUGGAGGCUACAUGGGCCAGCCACCUUCCUCAUCUGGUGAUUCCAGGGCUCACAGACUGGGGGAGGGGAGUGGAGGCCUGAGGACAACACACAUCAUACUUCAUGGUCCUUUACAGGCUGAGGAGUCUGGUUUGCUCCAGAACCAACUGUAGCCACUGCUGGGAUCCUCUUUAUGGUGCCUGCCAAUCCAUGGCAUGGGGAUGAUAAACAACUCUGGUGGAUGGAUUUAAUGGAUGAAGGAAACAAUUUUCCUAGGGAGAAAGCAAGUGGUUUGUUUUUAAGACUUGGUUCCUCUCUUGGUCCCGGUGGUUUGUGAUUUAUAAAGAUCUAUUCAGCUCAUCUCUAUGGCUCCUUCCUGUUUACCACUUUCUGCAGAUCCGGAUACCACUAAAGAUACACAAUUUCCAAAAAUGUUGAAGUAAUAUAGGAAAAAUAAAAUUAUUUUGAUCAGUGGAAUUGGGGGAGGGAUGGAAAUACAGAUAAUUCUUUUUUUAAAACUUUUUUUGGUCAAAUAUUUAAAAGUUAAAAAUGUAGCAAGUUGGGUAAUACAAACUUUCCUCUUACUUUCUGUACACUGAGUCUUUUGAAUCAUCUCUUGGUUUUAGUCUCUAUCAGAGGUUAAGAAGGUGCCAUUGCCAGGACUUAGAGUCCUGGUUUGGAGUGAGAAAAGGCUCCACCAACCUGGAGCGAGAGUAUCUGACUUUUCGUCACGAGCCACAUGAUCAAAAAGCCACUUGUCUGUGAUUACAGUGAAGUCCAGAAGGGCCUCCCUCUACUGAUGAAUACUGAACGUGAUUCAUGCGUGUGUCAAGUACAUAUGAAGGCUUUCAUCCCCUUUUUCCUUUUCUUAGCCAUCCUUCAGAGUGCCCUAGUUUCAUGGUGUGCUUUUGGUGGAAUUAAACUGAACACUUCAACUGAAUAAAGCAUUACUUUCAGCUUAA